GGAUGUAGCUCAGUGGCAGAGUGUGUGCUUAGCAUCCACAAGGUCCUGGGUUCAAUCCCCAGUACCUCCA
rnacentral:tRNA from 1 species